AGUGAACGCUGGCGGUAGGCCUAACACAUGCAAGUCGAACGGCAGCACAGUAAGAGCUUGCUCUUACGGGUGGCGAGUGGCGGACGGGUGAGGAAUACAUCGGAAUCUACUUUUUCGUGGGGGAUAACGUAGGGAAUCUUACGCUAAUAGCGCAUACGACCUACGGGUGAAAGCAGGGGACCUUCGGAUCUUGCGCGAUUGUAUGAGCCGAUGUCGGAUUAGCUAGUUGGCGGGGUAAAGGCCCACCAAGGCGACGAUCCGUAGCUGGUCUGAGAGGAUGAUCAGCCACACUGGAACUGAGACACGGUCCAGACUCCUACGGGAGGCAGCAGUGGGGAAUAUUGGACAAUGGGCGCAAGCCUGAUCCAGCCAUACCGCGUGGGUGAAGAAGGCCUUCGGGUUGUAAAGCCCUUUUGUUGGGAAAGAAAAGCAGCAGGUUAAUACCCCGCUGUUCUGACGGUACCCAAAGAAUAAGCACCGGCUAACUUCGUG
rnacentral:rRNA from 1 species